rnacentral:sRNA from 1 species
GCCAGGUGUGGUGGCACACACCUGUAAUCCCAGCAGCUCAGGAGGCUGAGAUAGGAGGAUCUUGAGUUCAAAACCGGCCUCAGCAAUAGCAAGGGGCUAAGCAACUCAGUGAGACCCUGUCUCU